rnacentral:rRNA from 1 species
AGGAUUAACGCUGGCGGCGUGCAUGAAACAUGCAAGUCGAGCGCGGUGUGAUGAGGGGUAACCCAAUUCACAUCUAGCGGCGAACGGGUGAGUAACACGUGAGCAACCUACCUUUGAGUUGGGGAUAGCCCUGGGAAACCAGGAUUAAUACCCGAUGUGGUCACAACAGGACAUCCUGAUGUGAGUAAAGGCGUAAGCCGCUCAAUGACGGGCUCGCGGCCUAUUAGCUUGUUGGUGGGGUAACGGCCUACCAAGGCGAUGAUGGGUAGCUGGUCUGAGAGGACGAUCAGCCACACUGGGACUGAGACACGGCCCAGACUCCUACGGGAGGCAGCAGUUAGGAAUUUUCCGCAAUGGGCGAAAGCCUGACGGAGCAACGCCGCGUGAGUGAUGAAGACCUUCGGGUUGUAAAGCUCUGUCGGAGGGAAGAACACAAUGACGGUACCCUCCAAGAAACGCCCGGCUAACUACGUGCCAGCAGCCGCGGUAAC